GGGGAUUUAGCUCAGUGGUAGAGCGCGCCUAGGAAGCGCAAGGCCCUGGGUUCGGUCCCCAGCUCCG
rfam:Rattus norvegicus chromosome 3, whole genome shotgun sequence.